CUUUCUUCUGCCACACUCUUCCACCAUGAUGGUCCGCCUAACCUCAGGCUCUAAGAAAUGGAGUCGGCCAUCUAUAGGCUGAGCCCUCUGAAACCAUGAGCCCCCAAAUACACUUUUCUCCUCUAAUUCUUCUUGUCAGGUCUUUGGGGCACAGCAGUGAAGAAGCUAAGACAAGCAUCUUGUUAAGAUGAGGAUUCUGAUGCAUCAGGGAUGGGAGUGGCCUAAGUUUCUGCAUAAAACUAACAAGCCAGGUGAAGCGGUAGUCUGCAGAGCGUCUUCUAAUCCUCGAAGAACCAGGAGACACCCAGGUAAUCAAGCCAGCUCUCUCAAGGAGGUGAUUUCUUACGUGGAUAGAAUGAUGAGGCCCCUUCAGAUCUGAAGAACAGUUUGCCAGAGUUUACUCAAAGGAACAUGAGAAUUUCUAACUUUAAAUGGAACUUGUGAAACUUAAACAUUUUUUUUUUUUAAAACAAAAUACAAAUCACUACAAAUUACUGAGAAGUGGUUAUAAAACCCUCUUCUAGGGUGAGCUGAAUUCAUGAAGGUAGAAUCUGAGCUUGCUCUGAUUACCAACUGUAGUCAAAGACAUUCUGCAUUUAUCAUAACAUUAGAAAAUAAAAAUAAAUUUUUCUGGAAGAAAUGAAAAUACAGCAGUGUGCUCAACUUGCAAAGCAAUAAAAUUAUUUGUGUGCCAA